AAGCAUCACCAGAUCCGGCGAGGGGCGAGCUCGAGGCUUGUCGGCGUCGGGUGAGCUCGAGCUUGCCCCUCACCGGAUCUGGUGAUGCUC
rnacentral:pre_miRNA from 1 species